rnacentral:rRNA from 1 species
UACGGAAGGUGCAAGCGUUAUCCGGAUUCACUGGGUUUAAAAGGUGCGUAGGUGGGUCUGUAAGUCCGUGGUGAAAUCUCCGAGCUUAACUUGGAAACUGCCAUGGAUACUAUAGGUCUUGAAUACUGUGGAGGUUAGCGGAAUAUGUCAUGUAGCGGUGAAAUGCUUAGAUAUGACAUAGAACACCAAUUGCGAAGGCAGCUGGCUACACAAAUAUUGACACUGAGGCACGAAAGCGUGGGGAUCAAACAGG